GAUGAACGCUAGCGGCAGGCUUAAUACAUGCAAGUCGAGGGGCAGCGCAGUGUAGCAAUACAUGGGCGGCGACCGGCAAACGGGUGCGGAACACGUACACAACCUUCCUACAAGUGGGGAAUAGCCCAGAGAAAUUUGGAUUAAUACCCCGUAACAUAGCGAUGUGGCAUCACAUUGCUAUUAUAGCUUCGGCGCUUGUUGAUGGGUGUGCGGCUGAUUAGAUAGUUUGCGGGGUAACGGCCCACCAAGUCUACGAUCAGUAGCUGAUGUGAGAGCAUGAGCAGCCACAAGGGCACUGAGACACGGGCCCGACGCCUACGGGAGGCAGCAGUAAGGAAUAUUGGACAAUGGACGCAAGUCUAAUCCAGCCAUGCCGCGUGAAGGAUUAAGGUCCUCUGGAUUGUAAACUUCUUUUAUAAGGGACGAAAAAAGGUCUUUCUAGAUCGUCUGACGGUACCUUAUGAAUAAGCACCGGCUAACUCCGUGCCAGCAGCCGCCGUAAUAC
rnacentral:rRNA from 1 species